GUAGUGUGUGUAUAUAAAGAAUGCAGUGUGUGUAUAUACAAUGAAUGCACACCGCAUUCAUUAUAUACACACACUACACG